AACGAACGCUGGCGGCAUGCCUAAUACAUGCAAGUCGAACGAUCACUUCGGUGGUAGUGGCGCACGGGUGCGUAACGCGUGGGAAUCUACCCUUGGGUUCGGAAUAACAGUUAGAAAUGACUGCUAAUACCGGAUGAUGACGAAAGUCCAAAGAUUUAUCGCCCAAGGAUGAGCCCGCGUAGGAUUAGCUAGUUGGUGAGGUAAAAGCUCACCAAGGCGACGAUCCUUAGCUGGUCUGAGAGGAUGAUCAGCCUCACUGGGACUGAGACACGGCCCAGACUCCUACGGGAGGCAGCAGUAGGGAAUAUUGGACAAUGGGGGCAACCCUGAUCCAGCAAUGCCGCGUGAGUGAUGAAGGCCUUAGGGUUGUAAAGCUCUUUUACUCGAGAUGAUAAUGACAGUAUCGGGAGAAUAAGCACCGGCUAACUCUGUGCCAGCAGCCGCCGUAA
rnacentral:rRNA from 1 species